ACCAAACAGCGACGGAAGAGGUGGUACCCGAGCCUCGACGUGGCAACCUGUAAACAGCAGAGGCAGGGUCAGCGAGCGGCCGAGAUGCUGCAAGCAGGCUCGGAGGGGCGAAGCCGCAUGCUGACGAGCGGUCUGAGAAG